GACGAAGGAUGCAAGCGUUAUCCGGAUUCAUUGGGUUUAAAGGGAGCGUAGGUGGCCUUAUAAGUCAGUGGUGAAAUCUCUCGGCUUAACUGAGAAAUUGCCAUUGAUACUGUAGGGCUUGAGUAUAGUUGCCGUUGGCGGAAUAUGACAUGUAGUGGUGAAAUACAUAGAGAUGUCAUAGAACACCGAUUGCGAAGGCAGCUGACGAAACUAUAACUGACACUGAGGCUCGAAAGUGUGGGGAUCAAACAGG
rnacentral:rRNA from 1 species